UUGUUGCCUAAAUAAAUUAUUCCAUUGGUGGUUGCAAAGUAGUGUUUUAAAAAUCUUAUCAUUCCAUCUAUAUUUAUUAGAUUUCAUCUUCUGUAAAGAAGGACUUUUCUAGCCCCUCGUCCUUUUUAGUACCACUGUGGACUCAUGGCUUCUUUUUUACUGUCAUCAUUCUUUUUGAAUAAUUGUCCAAAUUUUGGCCGGUUGGAAGCCCCUUCAAGCUGGUUCCUGUGUCCUAUCAGUCUUUGAAAAAAAGAAAAAAUCCUUGCUUUUUGGCACAAAAAGAAGCCAGCUUCUCUUUGUCCCUCCCCUGCCCCAGACUUAGGAGCAGCCGCUUCCUCGGGGGCUCUUUCCUUUUGGUGAAAAUGGUGUUUAGACCACCCUGUUAAAGCGGCAGUACACCCCCAUGACCCUCCAUCUCUCCCCCCACCGCUUUGCUUUCUUCAGUAGCACUAGCUAACAAGCUACUAGUUUAUUUACUUAUUUCACUUACUCUCUGUGUCCCCUGUGGAGUGGAAGCUGGCAGGAAUGUGUCUCUCUUGUCCAUUACUGCACCCCCGGCUCCUACAGCAGCGCCCUGCACACAGCAGGUGCUCAAUAAACACCUUCUAAUAAACUGAAUAAGCACCCUCCUCUAUAGAAAAUGUGAAAGUGCCACUGUGGAGCCCUGGAACAGGUGCCAUCCUCAGGUCUGUAGCAGAGGAAGCUGGGGACAUCGAGUGAGUCAUCCCCUCAAAACAUCCCUGGCAGGGAAGAGGCAGGGGUGAGCAGAGCCAGAAUCUGGAACCCCUGAUGAAAGCAAGUCAGGGAGAGCCAGCAAGGGCCCCCGAGAAAGGGCCGAUCUGAGCACAUGCCGGCAAGGGAUUCGGUUUGGGAGGCUGAGCGUUGGGCUGCAUCGAAGAAGAUCCUCAGGUCAAAUCCACAUCCGCUUCAUAGGACUUCACGUCCCCAGGACUCCUCUCUCUGCCCCUCAGCUCUGCUUCUUUCUAGGGAACUAGAAUCCCCCAGCUGCCCUCAGCCAUUGCACACCCUGAGCCUCACCAUCUCCACUGGCCCAGAUUGCUCCAAUCUCACUUCUCAUCUGUCCCACACACGUCUUCCCCACACGCGGGCCCAUGUUGUCACUGCCAGACAGUGCUGGUCUGAGCGACGGUAGAUGCGUGACAAGCAUUCAGAGCCUUGAGUUAUAUUGUGAGCAGGCCCUGCCUGGAGGACGCCAGGGCUGAGGCCUGGGGGAGCGGGCUGUGGGGGACCCGGCCUGGGAGGGCGGCAGGAGUGGGCAGCGAGCUGGGCUUGGUAAGAACAUGCCCUGGUGGGUGCCGUGGAAGGGAUCCCUGCCUGCAGCAAGCAAAGGACGCAGGCUGGAUGCCCAAAUUUAGGGCUUUGUAAACCUUUCCGGUCUGAUAGGAGAAGAAUUUGUACCUUGAGAUAUCUUACUAUUACUGUGUGACUCAAAUAAGAUCAGUGAGAACGUAAUUGUAAAAUGUUAAAGUUUUGCCCCAAGAUAUGUACACAUUUGGAGGGGGAGACAGAACCAGCCUCCGUGCCCAACUCCACCCAUCUUCCCAUUUCUGCAGCAGAACUUCCCGUUUGCCCCCAUUUCAUAUUUCACGGCACCUCCGCUGAGAAAACGAGCCUCUGCCACGUCAUAGGUAGUCCAGGUGUCCAGGAAGGUGAGCAAGGCAUCUGCCCAGGGCAGCCGUCUCCGCUCCUCCACCCAUGCUGGCUGAGGGAACGUGGCGAGGAGCCCAUCACAGAUGGGACAUUGAGUCUCCUCCCUGGCCCUGGGGAAAGGAAUGGAAAGUCAAGCAGAGGGGCCAGGGAGGAGCCCUGAACCAAGGCCCGAAGCCCUGCCCUCAGGGAGGGAGAGAAGGAGCAGCCCCGGGAGAGAGGCUCCCACCAAAGGCGUGGCCCCGUGUGAUGGGCUCCGAAGUGGCCCCAAAGCAAGGUGGCCAUGGACCACCAUUGGAGUUAGGGAUGGCUUGGCUACUGACCCCGUGUGCUGUGUGGUGUCUCUUAGGAGGGGCACUGUCUUCACUGGCCCAUCUGGCAUCAUCAGCCUUCCUCAGCCAUGUAGAUGAGCUGGGUGUGUGCCAGUCUCCGUGCCCAAGGCCAGCCCAGGGGCAAGAGGGAGCCUCAGAUCCCACCUUCACGCACACUUGUAUUCAAGGCAGGGGAUCUGUUGUUUAUUCACUGCUGGAGGUAGUCUGUGAGGGAGGACAGGUGGUCUGCCCUCGCCCUUUGGGAAGGCGAGUGACCAGGUGAAAGAGGAGAUGUCUCCUAUUCUGCUGGGAAAGCCUGCAAAGGCCACUGUGCAUGGAAUUGUGCCCCCCCACCCCCACCCCACUCAUAUGCUGAAGCCCGAACCCGCAGUGUGACUAUGUCUGGAGGAAGUAAUUAGGGCUACGUGAGGUCAUGAGGGUGGGGCCCUGGUACAAUGGGGUCAGUGCCCUUACGGGAAGAGACACCAGAGGGCUUGCUCUCCCUGGACCCCAGGAGAACACGGCAAGAAGGCAGCUGUCUGGGCCCAACCAGCCAGCACCUUGCUCUCGGACUCCCAGCUUCCAGAACCGUGAGAAGUAAAAUCUGCUGUGUAAGCCACCCAGUCUGUGAGAUUUUUAUAUGGCAGCUCGAGCAGACUAAGACGAGGCCCCAGUUUAAAUUCGUAAGAGGGUAGAAAACAUGAACAGGGCCUUGCUUGCCAUUCCCCAAACAGGAGACAGUAGAGGUAAGCAGACUAAUAGCCGGUGUUUUCAGAGGGCUGACCAUGUGCUGGGCGCUGGUCUCAGCUUUUUGCUCACGUUGAUUCAUUUAAAGCUCUCACGACAAGCCCAUGGGGUGCAUACUUUGGUACUAAUAUUUUCUUCAUUUUACAGAUGAGCUAAAGCCACCCUCCCAGGGUGAGGCGACUAGUACACGGUGGAGCCAGGAUGGAAACUGAGGCGGGUUUGGAGGCAGGUCUGAGACGUGCAUCUCUCCCAGUCCUCGCUUACGUGGGCAAAGUGCCCAACCCCUCUGAGUCUCGGUUUCCCCGAGCAGAGUGCUGUCUCCCACAGAUGCUGUGGGAUUUCACAGGAUGGUCCCAUAGUGCUCCCGUGGUGUCUGAUGCCUGCGAAGGACUCAGUGACUAUUAAGUAGUGUGUGUCAUUUAGAGGGGGCUCCUCUCACCUCCCCUGUCCCCUGAUGCCCACCUUUUAGCUGGAAAGGGAAGUUUUAGACAAAUUAAGAGAAAUCUCUCUGCAGUGAAAGGUGGAACUUAGACUCUUAAUGUUUUACAGCAUCGUAGAGACCAUUAACCCCGUGUUCUCGAACCCGACUGCACCUCAGGAUAGCGAGGCAUCUCCUGCGGGAGACGCAGCUGUCCUGCCCGGCUCUGACACUGCUCCCGCAGUGCAGGGACAGGGGGACAGGGCCCAGCAUUGGCCUGUGGGCAGGGCUGGCAGCACGUGUCUGCCGAGGCUCGUCCUGCCGUUUCCUCGGUCCUCCUCGUGGGACCCUACUCUUCACCGCCCUGGGCGGAGGGGAGGAGAGGCCGCUCUCCAAGGGGGCCAGACUAAGUUGAUAAAAGCUUUCCAAAUGUUCUGACGGUUGACAUACAUGCAAUUACACGUAGGUUUCCUGUGGGAGUUUGACUUCAUGUUAUCACUACUGCAACACUGAGGGACUUAGAAAGUCCGCGAACUUGAACCUUGGGCUGUGUGCUCUGCCUUCCCAUGCUCCUCACGUGAGCUACAUCCCCAAGAGCCUACACAUGGUUCUAACGGGCAACUCUUCUCCUAAAACCCAUCCCACUCUCUUUGGUCUUGCUUCCUUAUUCUUGAAUUACGACGAUUCUUCACUUGGGGCCUUUCACCCCUUGCCGUGACCUGUGUUUAUAGAGCCAUCGCUGUGUGUGGAAGAGACUAUUCUGGAACACUCAUGUAGGAGCCUUUCCCUCUGCUCUGCUCAGCAACACUGAAGAUGACGCCUAUGAGCUAGUGUUAAGACAAAUGAACAAAAUGACCUGAUGCGCAAACUGAUGUAGAGAAAAACUACACGAGCUGGCUAUUGUGAUCCAUCCAUCUUCACAGUCUAGCUGAGUGGAUCUACCCUUCUCACCCAACACACACUCACUCACACAUGCAAACUCAUUCACACCCGCAUACACUCAGACACGUACACAUUUGUUCACACACUCACUCUCGCACACUCAUGCACUUGCUCACAUCACACACACAUAUUUGCUCUCACACACUCUCCAUGCUGUGGUCAUAUUGCGCCUCCUUUCCCAGGCUGCCCCUGGAGCAUUUUCACCUGCCCUCGGGUAUAACAGGAGUGCUGAUGGAAGGGUCCCCAGGUUGGGAUGGCCCUCCGUGUGCCCACGCUCCAUCUCCUGCAGCCACCUCCUGCUUCCUAGGUAGGACCUCUCUGAAAUCCAGGCCCCUGGUCCUAGGGGAUCUCCAUUUGAAAUUAAGAAAUUAGGAGUUUAAGAGUCUGGCAUUUAUCUCAAUACCACUAAACUGACUGUGGAGGACAGACUGCAAGAUGCCCCUGUGACCCCACCUCAUGCUUUCACUCCUUUGUGUGGCCCCCUCCUCUGAGUGUGGGUGGGACCUGUAACUCGGCUUCUAACCCAUGGAUUAUGGCAAAGGUGAUGGAUGUCGGUGUCGCGGUCACGUGACAUUAGAUAAUUCUCUGUCUCUCUGGGCAGAGAUGCUCUUGGCUGGCCUGAAGUAAGAACAAUGGUGGGAAGCCCAAAUGGACAUGGAGACCUGCAGGUGACCUCUAGGGUCUGGGUGGCCUCCACCCAGCCAGGAGCCGCAGCCCCCAGUCCUGCAGCCACAAGGAGAUGCAUCUGCCAGCCUGGGUGACUUUAGAGCGCAUCCUUCCCAGCGGAGCCUCAGACGAGAGUGCAGCUAGGCUGACACCCUAAACGCAGCCUGGGGACCCUGAGCAGAAGACCCCGCUGAGUCAUGCCCACGCUCCUGACCACAGAAGCUGUCAGAUAAUAAGUGUGUGUUGUUUUAAGCCACCGAGUGUACGCUUAUCUGUCACGUAGCAAUAGAUAAUGACUACACCCACGUACACCAGCUUCAUCUUCUUUUAAUAUAUUUACCUUCAUUCUGAUAAUACAAAAAUACGUUAUUAUAGAAAAUAUGGAAAAGGUAAAAGUAUAAAGAAGAAAAUAAAAAUAGCCCACACUAUCUCAUGUUACUUAAGUGCUUACUAUGUGCCAGGCAGGUGACAGUGCACCGUCCCCAAUGCAAUCCUGGCAAGAGCCCCCUCGGGGAAUGAGGCUCAGAGAGGAUGAAAGGCUGGUCUGAAGUCAGAUGGCUGGUAAAGUAGGGGCCCGGGAGGCGAGCCAGUGUUGGCCUGAUUUUAUCGCCAGCACUUUCACCCACUGUAUCAGAGGUUCUCUGAGUUUUUUUGUGUUUGAGCCACACUUUCAGACAGAAUUUUGGCAGCAUACUUGAAGGGAUUUUAAGAUUUGAAAUGGCAUUACACAAAUCUGGGGGGGAAGAAACCCAUAACCAUGAUUACAUUUUAACAAUGUCUCCAAGAGUCCAUGAAAGCAUCCAGCUGUCACACAAUUUACUUGGUGGCCUCGCCUUUUUGUGUCUUUGUUUAAGUAGACUGCUUUCUAGCUGAGGCCGUAUUCUAAUGUAGACCCCUGAAGCAAACUUCGUGGGUUUUCCAGGAACGUGUCUUUGGCACUGGCUUGACUUUUGGCCACGCCAUUUACCUGUCACUUACAGCGACUAGCCUCUCACCCCACGCAGAGUUGUGCUCUGCUCUUUUCAUGACAACAAUGACAGCACGAGCUAACGCUCACUGAGCACUGAGUAUAUGGCCAUCACACUAAUGACGUCCAGUGAGGACCUGUGUUGGGAAGACUUGAGAAUGGCUCUGGCCUUGAUGUGUUUUAUAAAAUAAGAUUUGAUGUUUUCUUCCAUUAAAAUUAGCUGAUAUUUACACCCAGAGGGUGCCAAGCCCCACGCUAUAUUAUUUCAUUAUUAUGCACGGUUUCAUUUCAUCCUAGCACCAAUCCAGUGAAGGGUUCUUUUGUCCUCAUUUGGCAGGGAAGGAAAUGGAAGCUCGGGACGGUAAGUCGACCGCUCAGCCGGGUAAGCAGGAGCACGGCUUUGGGGUCAGGCGGUCUCCCCCGAGGGCGCGCUCUUAUCUGGCCUGCUGGACUCUUUCCCAUCAGGCCUUUGCCCUCCUUACAGUCUCAGACGUGCUUGCAGUAUUCAAGUUGGCGGGGUUGGUGCUUGCAGUAUUCGAGUUGGCAACUUUGUGAAGGAAUAAAUGCAGGUCGGGAGUCCAGGCACUAAAAACGUUCGUCCCCGCCUCUAACUUGUCCUUGUAAGGCCUUUUGCACCCCGUUGUUGUUCAGCAUCGACACCCUGGAUUUACUGGGUAGAGAGUCACAGUAGCAUUCCUGGGCUGGCUCCAGGCUUGAGGUCAGCUGGGACCCUGGGUGGUUCUUUGCAAAGGUAAGGGUCAGGUCUGGGGUUCUCUCAGCCUCCUCAAGCCUCCAGCCAAGUUCUCUGUCACUGCUGAUCUCCUUGGCACGAUGACACGUCUGAUCAGGCACACCGGAGAACGCCCACUUUGGCUUCAGAAGGGUCUACCUCCCACUCCCACCUGGAUUCAACUCUCGACCCCAUCCACGAGAGACCUAUUACCAGGAUUUCUUCUUGUAGGUGGGCUGAUGUGGAAACGUGGGGAGGACGGGGGAACAGUAAGAGGGAUGCUGGCCAGCAGAUCCCUGCCUGGGUGCCUACAGUCGGACACUUUGAACAGGCCCUCGGGACUGGAAGAAAUCAUGCACUGCAGGCGCUCCCCUCUUCCAGAAUCUAAAAGCACAGUGCAGAAGCAAACCAACCCCAUCACCUAUCACCCUGUGGCAGUCCCUUGAUAAUGAUCCAAGAAAAUCCAUUUCCGUUGAAGGAUGCAUUGGAGAACUCGCCCUGUUCUCAAGGGCCACCAGCCGGAAGCAGAGCAGUAGGGAAUGCAAUGAUGCUUCGAAUAAGGCCUCUCUGUGGAUGGACAGCACCUGCGUGUUGGGCAAGGUGGAAUGUUAAUAACCUUGACCCCAGAUGGAAAUCUGCAAGGGUCAGACUCUGCCACACCCUUGGAGGCCUAUGUCUGACUGAGCUCCUACUGAGCUUUGGGCCACUUAGGCCCCUCCAUUGCUUUUUCAUCUGAAGACACAGGAAGGGUCAAGCCUCCAUCUUCUGAGAAUCAAUGGCCAAGGGGCACGGAGCGGGGAGAGGCUGGUUUUUAUCAUGAAUCUAUGAUUUUAUUUUCCACUGAACAUCACAAGAAUGGACCCUCUGAACCACCGCUCUUGCUGCUGCUGCUGCUGAUGAGCUCUGUUCUCCGUCACUGAAGAUCCAUCUUGUCCAUGUGAUAAGAAAUACAGCCCACGAAGCCUUGCAAGUCUGACCUUGUGUGGCCUUUGUUGCCCAAGAGGCAACAUACUCUCUGGUGCAAAGUUCAAUGUCCUGGGGAAGGGUUCCAGCUGAGCUAGCUGGGCUUGGCUUCUCACCUGGACCAAUCGGCUAGUGCCAGGGGGCAGGACCAUGAAGAACAUGGCAUCUCCAUCCUGCCAUGUUGGUGAAGCAGGAAGAAUAAGGGGGAAGCUUCUCCCAGAAGAACAGCUACACUGGAUAAGUGAAAAAUAAAUGUCUGUUCUAA
rnacentral:lncRNA from 1 species